rnacentral:sRNA from 1 species
CCAUGUACUCACAUUUGAGCAACGGUGUA